CUGUAUAAGGUAGUAUGAUAAAAACAGGGGUUGGUGCUGUAUAAGGUAGUAUGAUAAAAACAGGGGUUGGUGCUGUAUAAGGUAGUAUGAUAAAAACAGGGGUUGGUGCUGUAUAAGGUAGUAUGAUAAAAACAGGGGUUGGUGCUGUAUAAGGUAGUAUGAUAAAAACAGGGGUUGGUGCUGUAUAAGGUAGUAUGAUAAAAACAGGGGUUGGUGCUGUAUGAGGUAGUAUGAUAAAAACAGGGGUUGGUGCUGUAUAAGGUAGUAUGAUAAAAACAGGGGUUGGUGCUGUAUAAGGUAGUAUGAUAAAAACAGGGGUUGGUGC
ensembl:lncRNA